rnacentral:rRNA from 1 species
GGGGUAAAAAUUUUCUAGAACUUUCAUUUAUAGUAUNUAUNAGGUCAAGGUUUAAUUAAUGAUUAAGUGGAGAUGGAUUACAAUAUUAUAUAUUUCGGAUUAAGAAUUGUAAUAUUUUUAUUAAGUUGGAUUUAAAAGUAAUUUAAUUUAGAAUGUUGAUAUGAUUAAAGCUCUAAAAUGUGUACAUAUCGCCCGUCA